GAAAUUUUGGGGGGAAAAGUUUGGGGAUGGAAAAUUUGGGGAGGGAAAUUUUGGGGGGAAAAGUUUGGGGAUGGAAAAUUUGGGAGGGAAAUUUGGGGAGGGGAAGUUUGGGGGGAAAAGUUUGGGGAUGGAAAAUUGGGAAGGGAAAUUUGGGGAGGAAAGUUUUGGGGAUGGAAAUUUGGGAAGGGAAAUUUUGGGGAGGGAAAUUUGGGAAGGGAAAUUUUGGGAAGGGAAAUUUGGGGAGGGAAAUUUUGGGGAGGGAAAUUUGGGGACGGAAAUUUGGGAGGGGACAAAGCUUUGAGCGGGUGGAAAUGGAAAGAAGGGAAAAGGAUUUGGGAAAGGAAAGCUUCGGAGGGGAGAAGUUCCGGGAGGAAAGUGAAAGUUUGGAAGGGGAGGAAAAUUUUGGGAAAGAAAAUUUCAGGGGGAAAAUUUGGGUGGGAGGAGGGGGAGAAAGUUCCGUGUGGAGGAAAAAUUUUGGGAUGAAAUUUUGGGGCUUUUUUUUCCCCCUCUUUUUUCAGGUGACGUUCAGCGACAGCGACCCCGAGGAGCCCCAAAUCCCCCCAGAUCCCCCCAAAAACGGCCGGAAAAAUUCCUGUGCCCGGAGGGUCCGGCCCCAAAAAUCCCCCGGGAAUUCCCCGGGAAUUGAGGCUCGGCCCCGGCGGGGGCGGCCCCGGAAGGAGCCGGAAAAAAGUGGGAUCGAGCAGGGGGAAAAUGUGGAAAAGAAGGAAAAAAGGAGAAACCCCAGAAUGGAAAACGUGGGGAGAAGAGGGAUCUCAGAAAUGGAAAAUGUGGGAAAAAAUGGAAACCCCAGAAUGGAAAACGAGGAAAAAAUGGGAAACCCCAAAAUGGAAAAGAUGGGAAACCCUAAAAUGGAAAAAGAGGAAAAAAUGGGAAACCCUAAAAUGGAAAAAAUGGGGAAAAGAGGGAUCCCAAAAAUGGAAAAUGUGGGAAAAAAUGGAAACCCCAAAAUGGAAAACGUGGGGAGAAGAGGGAUCUCAGAAAUGGAAAAUGUGGGAAAAAAUGGAAACCCCAGAAUGGAAAACGAGGAAAAAAUGGGAAACCCCAAAAUGGAAAAAAUGGGAAACCCUAAAAUGGAAAAAACGGGGAAAAGAGGGAUCUCAGAAACAGAAAAUGUGGGAAAAAAUGGAAACCCCAGAAUGGAAAACGAGGAAAAAAUGGGAAACCCUAAAAUGGAAAAAAUGGGAAACCCCAAAACGGAAACUUUGGAAAAGAAGGAAAAGGGAAACUCCAAGAAAAUUCUGGAAAAGAAGGAGAACAGGGCCCCGUGCCGGGAAAAGAGGGAGAGGGGGACGCCCCGAAUGGGAAUUUUGGAGGGAAAGAAAAGCUGGGAAUUUUCUGGGAUGGAGGAACGGGAUCCCCUGAGGGCCCUGGAGGAGGAGGAGGAAGAGGAAGAGCUGAGCUUCGAGCUCCCCCCGCUGCCCCCAGGUGAGUCCGGGGGGGUUUUGGGGGACCCCAAAAUUGCCUUUUCGCACCCCAAAACUGCCCCAUCCCGUGUCCUUCCUUUUCCAGGUGGGGCCGGCAAGGAAAUUCCAGGGAUUGGGGAUCGGGGGGAUCCCCCAAAUCCAGAGGGGUCCAACCCCUCUGCCCCGCCCGGUGAGCAGCUGGAAUUUGGGGUGUUCGGGGAAUUUUG
ensembl:lncRNA